GCUUCGUUUCCACGUUAGUAGCAAUUGUUUUCACAGAUAAGCAUUGGUGUGUGAUGCAAUUGCUAUCGCGUAGAUAACUUUCUAUCCUCACUUUUUGUCAGAAUUAUAAUUUCAAUCCUUUCACUAGUUCUCGUGAUUUUGAAAAUGACAAGCACAAAUGAACGCCGCCAGCUUGAAAUGGAAUUAACCGACCUCAUAGAUGCUGAAAAUUUAAGGGGGAAGGAUGCAGCAUUAGCUUACAACAACAGGGGCCAUAUAAGAUAUUUGCAAGUGAACUUUGAUGGAGCAAUAGAAGAUUAUGAUAAAGCAAUAGCAAUCGAUCCUGACCUAGCAGUUGCAUAUUACAACAGAGGAACCGUUUUUUACAGACUAGGCAGGUGGCACUAAUUUGAUGUGGACUUCGAGAAAAGUACAUUCAUACAGCUAUAGUAAGAAAACAAGUGAUGAUUCCAAAGUUGUGGGUAUAGCUGUAUCCUAAAUUGACAGACAGUAGUAAUAUUUUCAGAAAAAGAUGUGUAUGUUACAGAAGUUGACACAGGAUCUGGAGUUUGGAAAGAAAGUUUGAGGAUGCACUGACAGACAUGGAACAGGCUGUAAGACUGGAAGCAAAAAAUGGAGAAUUUGCAGAAGGACUAACUGCUUGUCUUACAAAGAAAAAUCAAGUAAUUGCAAAAUAAUAUUCUUUUGUAUUAAAAUUCAAUCUGCUUGACAAUCCAUGUAAUAAUUUGCAAUACAAAUAAAUUUGUAACUGAAA